UGUUUUGUAAUGUCCAUAUAAAUCAACGUAUAUCCAACAGAAUGAUGUCCUAACUUGACUGUCAUUAACGGAACAGAGGAUAGGACCCAAAAAUGCACGACUCCAAAACAAACGGACAGUUUCAAAAGAGGGGUUUAAUAUACGGGUAUAGGUCGGUACACAGGCAGGCAAUCCAAAAAAGACAGCAGUAUCCAAAACCACGAGGCAAAGAGGCGAGGUCGAUAAUCGGAACAGGGUCUAGUCUAACUGUGAGUCUGUGACGUGGAAACAAGGAAUGCUGGAACACGACGACAAGGUACAACGAACUGGCGACGAGAGGGAUUGAGACACGCGGUUAAAUACAAGGGGUAAUUAGGGUGAACGAGGCACAGGUGGUGAAGAUGCUCUCAGGAGCAGAUCCGCGAGGCCGCCAAGACCCACAAGCUGGUGGAGCAGGAGCUGGCACACGCCGUCAACGCCAGCGUCACGGUGCUGACUGAGGCCAAGCUGUCCAGCCCUGAGUUUUGGAGUCGCAGCACAGCUGUGGAAAUUGUCAACAGCAGCAAAGUUCUCCAGGCUGAGACAACCCUGCUUCUGGAUGGAAAACAUCCGGUAACCUCUCUCGCCACUAGCUGCUGCCACUUUUUGGCCAUCUGAUCCUCCUCAGUCCGAGUUCCUUGAGGAAGAGGGGCUCCGCUUAACCCUGAACAGCCUGAGUGCUGACCUCCACAAACUGGAUGACAUCCACUGGAUCUGUCCACUAACGCACUGUGCUGAGGAGGGGUUGGUGCGUCCCAGUAGUAAAAGCAGCAUAACUCUUAAGAUCAUGCCAAGGUGAAGAGGGAGAAGGAAAAGCUCCACAAGCAGAAGUCAAACCGCUCGCUCUCAGGAACACGGUAUGCCAAGUGUACGACUCCUGAAGCAGAAUCGCCAGGCAACUGAUGAUCUUUUCCGGCCCCUAACCUUGACCGCCGCGAGUGAGGAGAUGCCGUGCUCUUAUCUGCCGGCACCCGCUGUCCUGACUACGGCGUAGGCGGCAAGGAUUAGCUGUUUUGCGUUUCCUUACUGUGCAUUUUUUUUUUCGAAGCGGUGUCACUCGCAUUGCUCCUCCACUGGCCUGCUGUGCUAAUGAAAGAGCCUACAAUUCUGUCAUUUUGUCAUAAACAGUGUCUACACGUUGCUUGCAUGCAGCAGAGUACAGAACAUCUUUUAGAAACGACACGAUGGAAACCGCCUUCAGACUGAAAUUAGACUUUUCGGGGACACCUUGUUUCUACAUCACGCAACCUUCAAUGGCACCAGAAGCCGAUGUGCAGAAAUCUUGGAUUUUGAACAGAAAAGAAAAACAUUGACUGUAUUUGUGUGUUGAGCUGUUAAUAAUACUACUGAUAAUAAUACUGAUAAUGAUGUGCACAUGCAAGGUGCUCAAGUGGUUUUGACUUUAUUUGGCUUGUCGUGACCUCCACUAAAGAGGUCACGGGGGUGGUUCAUGAUCAGCUGACUCGAGAUGUAAUGCACCAAUGUGAAUGUUUGCUUUGCCAGUAGUUCCCAAUUGUUUUUAUCGUCUUGCUCUCGCGGGUUUGCUGUCCAAUCCCCCACCACCCCCAGGUCCCCCCAACCAUCCCCCCCGUGCGUUCAUAAACACGAUAGGAUCAAUCAAGAAAUCAAGUUGGCCAAACGGGGAAAUUUGUAGUUUGCAUAAGCAUGUUUAGUCUAAGCUGAUGCUUGCUGUGAGGGGCAUACUAAAUGAUAGCGCGUGCAGGAACAUGCUUGUUUCCGCUCACGGUCGAGCAUUGCCAAGCUCCACUGUCGUCGGGUGCUGGUCAGUGUGCGCUGCUGCCUUUUUCCCUUCAUGGCUUUUGUGGUGGUGUGCCAAGUAGAGCGACACACUCCAGUGGUGUGUGCAAUGUGGCGUUCAUUUCAAGUUUACUGUGUCUGGGCUCGCACUUUACAGACUCCUUGAUGGGGGAAAUGUGCGUGUACACGCGUUUACGUCAAAUUAGGUGAAGAAUAUGAAUUUUUAUUUGUGAUGAACUAUUAAAUAUAUAAUGUAAAAAUGCACGCCCAUCGAUGUGAUCCAUGGCUGUGGCGUUCCUGCUCCCGUGUCCACUGAUGCGCUGGGCCAACGUGUUACCAUGGUAACCACGUUAUCCAUUUGAAGCUUAAAGCCAAAGCUUAAGUCAACUCAUGAAUCACUUAUUGAUGAAGAUAAAAUGUUUGUGCACAAUGUGUAACUUUUUGAAAUUGUAUCAUCAACUUGUUCUGAAUAUAUGAUUGCAACGUGUAUAUGGGUUUUAAAAAGAAAGCUCAUGUAUAUUUAAUUUGAUCAAUGAUUGUUUGAACGUAAUUUAAUGGGGUUAACAAUGAUUCCGCAAUGCUGGGUGUUUGCACGAGUGUGUGCUUGUUGCCAGUUUUUCCGUCAUGUAACGAAGAUAAGCUUAGGAAAUUAAAAUGACUUGAUGGUGUGAUAAAUGUGCUGCUUCCAACGUGUCUGACUUAAAAGUACGUUUUAUUAAUACCUGCAUGUAAGUUUGUACGGUUUGUAUGAAAAUGCUUGCCGCAGCUUCUCCUUACAUACAUUGUGACCAACAAAGCUGACACAAUAUGAAGUUGUCAUUUCUCUUAAUUGUUGAUUAUUGAAAUGUUUAGAGUGAGGGGCUAUAAAGGUGUUCUGUCAUAAACAGACUUUGCGUCUUUUCCCAACACAACUCUGCUUUCAGCUGGACUAUUGCAUGACAGGCGUGCGUGUCAAAUGCCUCAGUGUGUGCUGUAUGUUGUUUGUGAAUCCAUCCAGUAAGGAAUAAACUGUAUUGGAAAACUAA